AACAAGGUCUCCGUUGGUGAACCAGCGGAGGGAUCAUUACCGAGUUUACAACUCCCAAACCCCUGUGAACAUACCACUUGUUGCCUCGGCGGAUCAGCCCGCUCCCGGUAAAACGGGACGGCCCGCCAGAGGACCCCUAAACUCUGUUUCUAUAUGUAACUUCUGAGUAAAACCAUAAAUAAAUCAAAACUUUCAACAACGGAUCUCUUGGUUCUGGCAUCGAUGAAGAACGCAGCAAAAUGCGAUAAGUAAUGUGAAUUGCAGAAUUCAGUGAAUCAUCGAAUCUUUGAACGCACAUUGCGCCCGCCAGUAUUCUGGCGGGCAUGCCUGUUCGAGCGUCAUUUCAACCCUCAAGCACAGCUUGGUGUUGGGACUCGCGUUAAUUCGCGUUCCCCAAAUUGAUUGGCGGUCACGUCGAGCUUCCAUAGCGUAGUAGUAAAACCCUCGUUACUGGUAAUCGUCGCGGCCACGCCGUUAAACCCCAACUUCUGAAUGUUGACCUCGGAUCAGGUAGGAAUACCCGCUGAACUUAAGCAUAUC
rnacentral:rRNA from 1 species